GACGAACGCUGGCGGCGUGCCUAAUACAUGCAAGUCGAACGAGAGCAACCGGUGCUUGCACUGGUCAAUCUAGUGGCGAACGGGUGAGUAACACGUGGGUAACCUGCCCAUCAGAGGGGGAUAACAUCCGGAAACGGAUGCUAAAACCGCAUAGGUCUUCGAACCGCAUGGUUUGAAGAGGAAAAGAGGCGCAAGCUUCUGCUGAUGGAUGGACCCGCGGUGCAUUAGCUGGUUGGUGAGGUAACGGCUCACCAAGGCCGUGAUGCAUAGCCGACCUGAGAGGGUGAUCGGCCACAUUGGGACUGAGACACGGCCCAAACUCCUACGGGAGGCAGCAGUAGGGAAUCUUCCGCAAUGGACGCAAGUCUGACGGAGCAACGCCGCGUGAGUGAAGAAGGUUUUCGGAUCGUAAAACUCUGUUGUUAGAGAAGAACAAGUGCUAGAGUAACUGUUAGCGCCUUGACGGUAUCUAACCAGAAAGCCACGGCUAACUACGUG
rnacentral:rRNA from 1 species